rnacentral:lncRNA from 1 species
AUGGAAUAUAGCAACUUGGUCUAUCACCAACUGCUUCGAUGCAACUCAACAGCAUCAGUUGUCAUCCCGCUAACAACCGCCAGGGCGAGGCGCAUCUCUCAGGUCUUUACUGGAGUCCUGGAAAUCCGGCACCAUGACAUCCGUAGGUGUAGACGAGGAACAAAAGACCCUCGUGCCGCCCUCCCGCGGCUCCGCUCCGAACGCGCCCGGCGGGGCUCCCGGGCGAGGGUCGCUGCCCACGGGGCCACGGCGGGCAGGAGGAGCGGAGGGCGCGCGGUGGCCCGAGGCCCCGUCAACGUAGAGGACAGACGCCGGGCAGGCCCGGGAGCGCGCGCCCUGCCGGGCACCGACGGCCGAGCCCGCACAGCCCCGGACCUGGGGCGCGAGCCCGCUAGGGGGCCCGCGGCUUCCGGCGGCUGCACCUGGGCCCCGCACCGUCGUGUGGCCCCGCCGCAGCCUAGGCGCGCACGCCCUCAGCGGCCGAGCGCAUGGUCGAUGGUAGAGCGCGGUCCGGGCUGCUGCGGGCCAAGUUUCCCGGCCCCACGGGGCCCGGUGCUGAUGGCACCAAGUUCUCCCAACAGAUCCCACAAAAUGGAGGACGACGUCUCCUCCCGCCGCAGCCAUGGCGGAGGUGGGGGGCCGGCCAUUCCCACGGGCGAGGCAAGGUGGAAGCGCCCGCGCGGCCGCCAGCGCGCCAGUGCCCUGCAGCCACGGCCCGGCCCGCCCCCUCGGCCCGCCGCAGGCACCGCGGGGCUCGCCCGUCUCCCGGGCCCUGGGAGGGGGGCGGGGGUCUGGACAGGGAGGACGCUGGGGCAUCGAGGCCGCGCGCGUCUCUCCUCGGGCAGAGUCGCGGGGGACCGCGGCGACCGUCUGCAGGCCGAGGCCCGGUGGCCCGAUCCCGGGCCCACGGGAAGCCUCGACGAAGAUGCCCCGCCCCGAGGCCCGAACCGCGAGCCCUGUACUGCGGGCCUCGCCACUCGGGCUCCUGACCCGGGCGGACCCGGCGAGUGGGGGCGGGGCGGGGCGGGGGCACGAGGGGGAGGGAGGGAGAGGGAGGGAGGGAGGGCUGGCGAAGCCCGAGGCUGGCGGCAGGGGGGAGGGAACGGCAGGCCCGAGGGCGUGGCCCACAUUUGA